rnacentral:sRNA from 1 species
AACCAAGUAGAAGCUCCCGCUUCUCACCUGUAGCGACGCAAAGGCAGUUGGCAGGUCAAUAAUACAUGUAGUAAACAUGUGUAAAGCAGAGCGGGUGUAAUUUAUACUCGCUCUGCUUUUUU